rnacentral:lncRNA from 1 species
GGAGCAAGUCAUGACCACUAGGGUGUCCUUUAAAAGAGAUGCUCUUUAAAUAUUUGUUCACUGUGUAUUUAGAGUAGAGGCUGAGAAUUUCAUGAGGGAAAGAGGAAAGGGACCAUCGCUCUGGAUAGUUAGACUGAAAUGGAGCUCAGGACCUCCUCUUAGCUCAGUUACUUUCUAGACAUUCGAGACAAACCGGUGAAUAAAACAAGCAGAGAUCGCUGCCUUCAUAGAGUUUAUAUUCUUGUGAACAGAAACAGACAAUAAACAAACAAAGAGUAAAUUAAGGAAUGCAUUAUAGCUGUUAAAGCAAUCUUAAGGGAAAUCCGAAGCUUCCACUGCAGCACCAUGCUUAGAAGUUCCUGUUUUCUUCAAUGUCAAAUAGCAGUGAAAACAAAAAAUCUCCCACUUCCAGUUCUAGGAGAAUAUUAGGCUGCACAGAUCCAGAGACUAACUUCUGGAGUUCCAGGGAAGUGCUGAACCAGAUGUCCUGGUGCAUGAGGCCUGGUUUCUCUACCAUAGGGUCCAAAAGAGUGAAGUCCAUCAAACAUGGAUGCAUAAGGUAGAGGAAAAGAGUGACACAGAAUCCGUUACAUGAUGCUGCUGAGCAAGAAUUUUCAGUUGAUGAGAAUUACAUAUUAAAUAUGAAGCCCUUCAGGAAUCUGUUUCUUUCUAUCAGUGCGGUCUACCUUGUUGAUUUUUCAACAAAAUUGAGACCAGGAUCAUCUAAAAAGUCUUCAAGUUUAAAAAAAUAUGGAAGAUUAUAGAGUAUGGAAAGAGCACUGGAGGAGGAGUCCAAUGUUUUGUGAUCUAGUAUUUU